rnacentral:rRNA from 1 species
CAUGGAGGGUGAGAAUCCCGUCCGGUUGAUCAUUUGCGUUUUACGAUACGCUUUCUAAGAGUCAAGUUGUUUGGGAUUGCAGCUUAAAAUGGGAGGUAAAUUUCUCCUAAGGCUAAAUAACGGCGAGAGACCGAUAGCGAACAAGUACCGUGAGGGAAAGAUGAAAAGAACUUUGAAAAGAGAGUUAAACAGUACGUGAAAUUGUUGAAAGGGAAACGAUUGAAGCCAGUCGUACCUUCGGGUAAUCAGCCUUUCGGGUGCGAUUCUGUGGAGUGUGAGGAGCUUAACACCUUCAUGCUUUGCAUAUUUGUGCUCUUGGGUGUACUUGCCCGUGUGGUUGGUUAACAUCAAUUUUGGUUAUCAUAAAAUGAUUGGAGGAAUGUAGCUUCGAUCUCGUAUUGAAGUGUUAUAGCCUUCGGUAGAUGUGAUGAUCGAGAUUGAGGAUUGCAACGGAUACCCUUCGGGGCUACCUGUCUGGUCUCUGAUCGUUGCUCUGGUGCCGAAAGCUUGCUUACGGUUAUCAAAGUCGAUGGUCAAUAGGUUAGAACGGGUUAAAUUCGUUAAGGAUGUUGACGUAAUGG